UACGAAGGGGGCGAGCGUUAUUCGGAAUCACUGGGCGUAAAGCGUGCGUAGGCUGUUUGACAAGUUGGGAGUGAAAGCCCAGGGCUCAACCCUGGAAUUGCUCUCAAAACUGUCAGACUUGAAUCUCGGAGAGGAUAGCGGAAUUUCCAGUGUAGUAGUGAAAUACGUAGAUAUUGGAAGGAACACCAGUGGCGCAAGCGGCUAUCUGGACGAGCAUUGACGCUGAGGCACGAAAGCGUGGGGAUCAAACAGG
rnacentral:rRNA from 1 species